rnacentral:rRNA from 1 species
UACGUAGGGUGCGAGCGUUAAUCGGAAUUACUGGGCGUAAAGCGUGCGCAGGCGGUUCGUGAUGUCUGGUGUGAAAGCCCCGGGCUUAACCUGGGAAUUGCAUUGGAAACUAGCGGGCUGGAGUGUGGCAGAGGGGGGUGGAAUUCCGAGUGUAGAGGUGAAAUGCGUAGAGAUGUGGAGGAACACCGAUGGCGAAGGCAGCCCCCUGGGCCGACACUGACGCUCAUGCACGAAAGCGUGGGGAGCAAACAGG